GGUUUUCGGACCUAGCGGCGGACGGGUGAGUAAUGCGUAGGAAGCUGCCCGAUAGAGGGGGAUACCAGUUGGAAACGACUGUUAAUACCGCAUAAUGUCUACGGACCAAAGUGUGGGACCUUCGGGCCACAUGCUAUCGGAUGCGCCUACGUGGGAUUAGCUAGUUGGUGAGGUAAUGGCUCACCAAGGCGACGAUCUCUAGCUGGUUUGAGAGGAUGAUCAGCCACACUGGAACUGAGACACGGUCCAGACUCCUACGGGAGGCAGCAGUGGGGAAUUUUGGACAAUGGGCGCAAGCCUGAUCCAGCCAUUCCGCGUGCCGGAUGAAGGCCCUCAGGGUUGUAAACGGCUUUUAUUCGGGAAGAAGAGCAGGGAUGCGUCCUUGUGUGACGGUACCGAAUGAAUAAGCACCGGCUAACUCCGUGCCAGCAGCCGCGGUAAUACGGAGGAUGCAAGCGUUAUCCGGAUUCAUUGGGUUUAAAGGGUGCGUAGGCGGACUUGUAAGUCAGGGGUGAAAUCCGGCAGCUCAACUGUCGAACUGCCUCUGAUACUGCAGGUCUUGAGUCAACAUGAAGCAGGCGGAAUAUGGCAUGUAGCGGUGAAAUGCAUAGAUAUGCCAUAGAACACCGAUAGCGAAGGCAGCCUGCUAAAGUUGUACUGACGCUGAUGCACGAAAGCGUGGGUAGCGAACAGGAUUAGAUACCCUGGUAGUCCACGCCGUAAACGAUGAUCACUCGCUGCAUGCGAUAGACAGUAUGUGGCCAAGCGAAAGCGUUAAGUGAUCCACCUGGGGAAUACGAU
rnacentral:rRNA from 1 species